rnacentral:rRNA from 1 species
CCUACGGGGGGCAGCAGUGGGGAAUCUUGCGCAAUGGCCGAAAGGCUGACGCAGCGACGCCGCGUGCGGGAGGAAGCCCUUCGGGGUGUAAACCGCUGUCAGAGGGGACGAGGGCCCCGGGGAGGCAAUGCCCUGGGGAGGGACGGUACCCUCAGAGGAAGCACCGGCUAACUCCGUGCCAGCAGCCGCGGUAAUACGGAGGGUGCGAGCGUUGUUCGGAAUUAUUGGGCGUAAAGCGCACGUAGGCGGCUUGUUAAGUCCACUGGUGAAAGACCGGGGCUCAACCCCGAGUGAGCCGGGGAUACUGGCGAGCUGGAGAGAGGCAGAGGCCAGCGGAAUUCCGGGUGUAGCGGUGGAAUGCGUAGAGAUCCGGAAGAACACCGGAGGCGAAGGCGGCUGGCUGGGCCUACUCUGACGCUGAGGUGCGAAAGCGUGGGGAG